rnacentral:tRNA from 1 species
GUCGGCGUAGCUAAGUUGGUUAAAGCGUCGGUCUGCAAAACCGAUCAUCGACGGUUCGAUUCCGUCCGCCGACUCCA